AGAGUUUGAUCCUGGCUCAGAGCGAACGCUGGCGGCAGGCCUAACACAUGCAAGUCGAACGAGCCUUCGGGCUAGUGGCGGACGGGUGAGUAACACGUGGGAACGUACCUUUAGGUUCGGAACAACACAGGGAAACUUGUGCUAAUACCGAAUGUGCCCUUCGGGGGAAAGAUUUAUCGCCUUUAGAGCGGCCCGCGUUAGAUUAGCUAGUUGGUGAGGUAAAGGCUCACCAAGGCUACGAUCUAUAGCUGGUCUGAGAGGAUGAUCAGCCACAUUGGGACUGAGACACGGCCCAAACUCCUACGGGAGGCAGCAGUGGGGAAUCUUGCGCAAUGGUCGAAAGACUGACGCAGCCAUGCCGCGUGAAUGAUGAAGGUCUUAGGAUUGUAAAAUUCUUUCAGCAGGGACGAUAAUGACGGUACCUGCAGAAGAAGCCCCGGCUAACUUCGUGCCAGCAGCCGCGGUAAUACGAAGGGGGCUAGCGUUGCUCGGAAUUACUGGGCGUAAAGGGAGCGUAGGCGGGUUAUCAAGUUGGAGGUGAAAGCCCAGGGCUCAACCUUGGAAUUGCCUUCAAAACUGAUAGCCUAGAGUAUGAUAGAGGUAAGUGGAACUCCGAGUGUAGAGGUGAAAUUCGUAGAUAUUCGGAAGAACACCAGUGGCGAAAGGCGACUUACUGGAUCAUUACUGACGCUGAGGCUCGAAAGCGUGGGGAGCAAACAGGAUUAGAUACCCUGGUAGUCCACGCUGUAAACGAUGAUUGCUAGUUGUCAGCCGGCAUGCCCGGUUGGUGACGCAGCUAACGCAUUAAGCAAUCCGCCUGGGGGAGUA
rnacentral:rRNA from 1 species